GAAGGCAGCAGGCGCGCAAAUUACCCACUCCCGGCACGGGGAGGUAGUGACGAAAAAUAACGAUACGGGACUCAUCCGAGGCCCCGUAAUCGGAAUGAGUACACUCUAAACCCUUUAACGAGGAUCAAUUGGAGGGCAAGUCUGGUGCCAGCAGCCGCGGUAAUUCCAGCUCCAAUAGCGUAUAUUAAAGUUGUUGCGGUUAAAAAGCUCGUAGUCGAAUCUGUGUCCCGCGCCGCCGGUUCAUCGCUCGCGGUGUUUAACUGGCGUGUCCGCGGGACGUCCUGCCGGUGGGCUUAGCUCUUCGCGGGGCGGCCCAACUUCAAAUCCCACCGCGGUGCUCUUCACUGAGUGUCGAGGUGGGCCGGCACGUUUACUUUGAACAAAUUAGAGUGCUUAAAGCAGGCUAAAACUUCGCCUGAAUACUGUGUGCAUGGAAUAAUGGAAUAGGACCUCGGUUCUAUNUUGUUGGUUUUCGGAACCCCGAGGUAAUGAUUAAUAGAAACGGAUGGGGGCAUUCGUAUUGCGACGUUAGAGGUGAAAUUCUUGGAUCGUCGCAAGACGGACAGAAGCGAAAGCAUUUGCCAAAAACGCUUUCAUUGAUCAAGAACGAAAGUUAGAGGUUCGAAGGCGAUCAGAUACCGCCCUAGUUCUAACCAUAAACGAUGCCAGCUAGCGAUCCGCCGACGUUCCUCCGAUGACUCGGCGGGCAGCUUCCGGGAAACCAAAGCUUUUGGGUUCCGGGGGAAGUAUGGUUGCAAAGCUGAAACUUAAAGGAAUUGACGGAAGGGCACCACCAGGAGUGGAGCCUGCGGCUUAAUUUGACUCAACACGGGAAACCUCACCAGGCCCGGACACCGGAAGGAUUGACAGAUUGAGAGCUCUUUCUUGAUUCGGUGGGUGGUGGUGCAUGGCCGUUCUUAGUUGGUGGAGCGAUUUGUCUGGUUAAUUCCGAUAACGAACGAGACUCUAGCCUGCUAACUAGGCGUAUUUUCGACAUCUCAAAGGCCCGCCGGCCCGGCGCUCUUGUGUCGCGGUCGCGCGCGGUUUUUACUGUCGGCGUACAAUCAAUUCUUCUUAGAGGGACAGGCGGCUUCUAGCCGCACGAGAUUGAGCAAUAACAGGUCUGUGAUGCCCUUAGAUGUUCUGGGCCGCACGCGCGCUACACUGAAGGAAUCAGCGUGUCCUCCCUGGCCGAGAGGCCCGGGUAACCCGCUGAACCUCCUUCGUGCUAGGGAUUGGGGCUUGCAAUUGUUCCCCAUGAACGAGGAAUUCCCAGUAAGCGCGAGUCAUAAGCUCGCGUUGAUUACGUCCCUGCCCUUUGUACACACCGCCCGUCGCUACUACCGAUUGAAUGAUUUAGUGAGGUCUUCGGACCGGUACGCGGUGGCGCACCCGCGUCGCCGAUGUUGCUGGGAAGAUGACCAAA
rnacentral:rRNA from 1 species